CCUACGGGUGGCAGCAGUGGGGAAUAUUGGGCAAUGGGCGCAAGCCUGACCCAGCACCGCCGCGUGAAGGAAGAAGGCUUUCGGGUUGUAAACUUCUUUUGACAGGGAAGAGUCGACGACGGUACCUGUCGAAUAAGCCACGGCUAACUACGUGCCAGCAGCCGCGGUCAUACGUAGGUGGCAAGCGUUGUCCGGAUUUACUGGGUGUAAAGGGAGCGUAGACGGCCAUGCAAGCCAGGGGUGAAAGCCCGGGGCCCAACCCCGGGACUGCCCUUGGAACUGUGCGGCUAGAGUGCGGGAGGGGCAGGCGGAAUGCCUGGUGUAGCGGUGAAAUGCGUAGAUAUCAGGAGGAACACCGGCGGCGAAGGCGGCCUGCUGGACUGCGACUGACGUUGAGGCUCGAAAGCGUGGGGAGCGAACAGGAUUAGAUACCCGAGUAGUC
rnacentral:rRNA from 1 species